UUGCAAUAUCUAUUUUCAGUACAGGAAUAUGAAAAGUUAUUGACAUGUGAAGAGCUAUAAACUUCAGAUAGAAAUGGUUUAUCAUUGAUUAUUUAUCAUUAUCAUGAAUUCAACCAGAGUCCAUAGUGACCAGAAAGAGAAGUUAUUUUUUGAUUUACUUAAUAAAGAUAAUUGUGAAUGUCUUUAAAUGAAAUGAGGAGAUAUAGUACAGAUUUCUUAUCUAAAGAUAUAAACUGAGUAGAUCCUAAGACCACCAUGCUUUGUAAAUUUCUUCUCCAACAUUAGGAAUAGCUUUUUCUAUAAUUUAUGUAUUUUUAAAACAUGUUCUCACUGGAAAAAAAUUUAAUAUAUAGGGAGAUAGUAAUUAGUAAAAGAUGGCUAUGACUAAAGCCACCUAACAGAUAGAAAUCUUUUUUAUUUUUUAAGCCCGUGGGCAUGUGAACUAUGAAGUUCGAUCAUUUUUGAGGAGUCUGAGGAAUUCUUUUUCUUUUUAAAACAGGGCCCAGAUGGAUUACCCAUGCCUGGCUGUUGGCAAAAGGUAGGUGUCAUGGAAUGAUUUCUAAAGGAAGUACUCUCCUUUCUCUUGACCUGGCCUGGCCCUUUUCAUUCAGAACAGAUCUUUUGCAUUUGACACUCAUGAAUGAUUCCGGCUUCACAAUAUCUUGAUGAAUAUACUUAUUGCCGAUUUCUUUCUAAGCUGAUGUGUGAAAACAGUUCUUCACAAACAUCAUAAUUUGAAACCUUGAAACCUUCCCGACUUGAUCCUUUGUUUGGAAUGGAAAGGGGCAGUGGGUCUUAAUGGUUUGCUGGUCAAAUUCUUUGUCCUCUAUUGUUCAGCAUAAUCUCCAAUUGUGAUUCUUUUUCUACUUAUAUUCAGUUACUUAGACCAAUAUGACAAUAUAUGGUAGAACCCUGUCAAUAUUAGUCACAAAGCUGAGAAAGCAGAAAAUAUACACUAUUUUUUUUUCAGUGAUGCCUUGAUUUAUCUAGGAGAACCUGAUUCAAUUGGCACCCUUCCUGCAUCAGCUUAUUCUAGCCUUUUCAUGUGGCUGCCUUUAGUCACUGCAUACUCAUGUCCUAUAUAGCAGGACCAUGUCCUAUAUAGAGGAUGUUCUGUAUACAAUGGCUGUGCCAUAGGCACUCUCACAUGGGGGGGAAUCAUUUCAUUUAAUCCGUGCGGUAACCUACUAAUGAAACAAAUUUAGAGAGGUGAAGGAACUUCUCAGAGCACAGAACUGGUAUGUCUAGCUCUCCAGACACAGAAUUUAGAGGUUAGAGAGUAGAAAACAACAGCAAAACCUGAAGCCAAAAAAGAGCAGCAUAUGCUGUGCUUCUCAGGAAAUACCAAGUCUUCACCUAGUAAUUGUGUGAACUCAGUUAUAAAGGAUGGUGUGCUACUGAAGGACCGAGGGAGCCCAUUAAAGUGAAAAUGAUCUUGGGGCAGUAUAAGAGCUGCUUUGAUCAUUUUUAGAUUUUUUCUCCAACACUUUAUAGCUCAGUUGGUAUUUUGGGACAGGCAUGCUUCAUUGACAAAAUUAUGUACAAUUACAAAACAAAAAUUGGGAAAAUUAUGUAAAAAAAAUUUAAAAUUAGAUAACAUUGGAAGAAUUAUGUAAGUUAACAAAACUAUGUAGGAUUACAGAAACAUGAGGAGACACUUGACUCUUGGUUGCCUCUCCUGUUAGCAGUUCCACCACUGAGGAAACCUGUGCACUGUCUUUCUUAGAGAGUUUCACCUACUUGGCCAGGGAAAGAAAAACCUCUCAAUAGUGUCAUUUAUUUAGUAGCUUCUCAUACUCCACUUUCAUCCUGUCAGAUAAUUAGUUGGAUCACUUCUGAGGUCAGGUGGGUCUCAGGACAUGGACCUCUUCUUCACCUAAGAAAUCUAUCCUCUGGCCACCAAAAGCCCUGUUCCAUCCUGUGCUGGAAUCACUAUUUGCUUUCUAACCUUUGCCCUGUAAUCCAAUAAUAUAAUGAUUUUUUAAUCCAGUCAUUAGUACACUUAGAGGGAGAGGCAUCCGUUUAUUCUACCCUCUUCAUACGGCUGCCCUUAGUCACUAUGUAUGCAUGCAAACCGAUUUCUUUAUCCAGCUUCAGAGUUUGGGGUCACUAUUGGUUUGUGGCUGUCUUUUGAAGCCCUUCCUUUCUUGUGAAGGCACAAAAGUAAUGGCAAGAGUCGAAGGCCUCAUCAUCAUUUGGGUUCAUGAAAUGAAACACGUGCUAAUAAGAUGACUGGUGUUAGAAAAUCAGAAGUCUCCCUGGAAAAACACAUUUUUCCAUAAGACACUGACUAUAUCCUACAUACGAUUAAGUAUUUUAUUAAUCUAUUACACAAAGAAAAAAAAUCUCAGUGAAAAAACUUCAGUAUUGCUUAACUCCCCACCCCAAAACAUACUCAUGCAAGUCCACUCUGACCAACCUCCUUCAACCCUCUCCACCAAAAAGAAAAAAUUAGAGAAGUGGAAUGUUCUCAAAUUUCUUAUGUGGUUAACUCAGCUAUCUCAAAUAGUCAAGUCCAAUAAUUUUUAAGUGAUAUUUUAAAAAUAAGUCCAGUCGAGGGUGUUCACCAAGUCCUAUUUUCUGUGGGCUACCCUCAUAAACACUGUUGUGUUUAUUAGACUGUAAACACACUGGCAAAUGUCUGUGUGACUUAAAAUUCAGAUUGUGGCAGCAGUGUAAAUCACUGUGCCUAACAAGUUUUCUUGGCAUGCCACGUUCAGUGUUUUUUAAUGCAGAACUAUUUGAUCUUUGCUCAAAUUGCUUUUCUUUCUGGAUAUAGUUCAGUUUUCUAAAUUUAUCAACACAGAAAGAGUUGCUAAGCUAGAACUGAAGUAUAAUGCAUUAGUCCAAGUGUUAUUUGUAUAGUGAGUAAAUAGCAGAAUGUAUUAAGAGGCUAUUAAGCUUAUCAUCAUCCAUCAUCAUUCAUAGGUUGGAAACUACUCACUAGGAGAAAUACCUCUAGCCCUGUGCUUCAUCUGAUUUAAUACUUCACUGAACUUAACUUUUCCAGGUAGGGUUAACAGAAUCUUUUUAACACCAAGUAAGAGGUGUUUUUUUAAGUGAAGUUUUAAACCCUGAAAAAAAAAGAAUCUUUAAAAUUCUGUAAAUUUAUUUGCAAUACAUUGGUUUGGGUACCCAAACUUGCAUCAAAUUUGAAAUCUGAGAAAAGUGAGUUUGGAGAAAAGAAUGCUUCCUAUAGAUAAGAGUUUUGGGCAUUGAUAGGAUGGUGUGCAUAAGCAAAGUGAAUAGCAUCUCUCAAAGUCAGAGAGCACACAACCUGCUAUGCACACCUAGUAGAGCAUCUGUGUUUCUUAGAAAAGUAAAUGUUGUUAAUGAAUAAGCUGAAAGACGCCUCAUGCCUAUGGAGCUGCAUAAAGAGACUGCUAUCAUUUCACUUUCCUCUGCAUUUUACUUUUCCAAUUUUUCUUUGGGUCAAUGUCAAGGAAGUCUCCCAGAACUUCCUUAUGAAAUCACAUCUCAACACUGCUCCUCAGACUCUCAGAUCUUAUUUCUAUUCUAGGAAUAUCUUCAAAUAAUGGCUGCUCAGAAAGAGGGGCCUGGGCUCUGCGGUGUCUUAGGACAUCACAAUGGAACCUGUCAUACAGCUUGAGCCCUGAGAGCAGGAAGGUCCUCCUUGCCCAACAUUCCAGCAAGACAGAGAGAGCCAAAGGAAAACACAACCUAGAAUAGUAGGCCUAUGUACCAUUAUACAUAGACAGGUGUGGGUGAAGUGAACAGCAUCACUGAGGUCAGAAUCCUAAACUUUUUCCACUUUAAUGCUGGAAGGUUAUGUAAAGGCACAAAAUACAAAAUGGAAUUUAAUAAUUACCUAUGUGAUAAAAUCCUAAAUUUUCUGCUUUCCCAGAACAGUUACCGAAACAAACAUCAAAAAUUUCUUAGUGGUGAAGGAAAGCAGGGGUUGAAUUUAAUAUGGAAUUUGUAAUAUUCUGGAGUUCAGAAAGUUAGAUCCGGGACACACACCAUGUGCUCCAUUAGCGCAUUGAUAAACACUGUAGUCAAGGUUCUACCAGCUUUCUUAAAUGUUAAUUUGGAAUUGUUAUCCAAGACUACUAAUGCCAUGUAUUUGUCUUUUUUUAUUGUCUGUUUUUCUGCAGUGAUGAAUCUAACCUUCCAAGCAUGAAGUUGUGUAUAUAAUGGUCCACUUUCUAUAUUUAUAGUUGAAAACAGAAUUGCAGAUUUUACAAGUCUGAGAUAUGUUUACAUAGAGCUGCUUCUUCCUGUCCGCAGUAGUACACAUGUCCAUCUCUAUUCCACUUACAUCUGAAAUUGGGCAAUUUAUGAAACCAGUGAGAAGUCUGCAAAGAAAUCUAGAUCAGUAUCUCUUUAUCUUAUGUGAAGAUAUGUAUUUAUAUGGACAUCUGUGAUAGAGAAUGGUCGUUCUUGCUAUUUUCUUACUUUGGGCUUGUGAAUUGCAUGGACAAAAAGUGCCAUGACAUAGUUUACAAUGAAAUUGUGACCAAAUAUGGACUCAAGUCUAUGAACAUGUACCAUACUGACUGACUUUGGAGUUUGCUAUCACAUCCCCAGUCACCUUCCCUGUUAGCAAUGAUUCGUGCCCACACCACCUACUGAAACUGACUAAAAAAGCAUGAUUGUGUGCCAAACCUGCCUGUCCUUGUGCAAAUUCAGAUGCUAGCAUGCUGCUUUAUGAGUCCUUUGAUUACAUCUGAGCUUUUAUUCCUUUUGUCAUCUCAAGGGGGUUACACCAUGGCUUAUUGCCAAAAAGAGAUAAGUUGGUGGAAAGCACACAAUUGGUCUAUCAUUUUGAGGGAGUUGCAGUCCCAGCUGCAGAUCUCCAGCUUCCAGUAUUGUGAGCUCAUGGGGCCACCUUGGCUGAAAUACCAAGGGGGUGAGCUGAUUGCUGCCGCGGGUUUUCCUGGUGCUGCUCUUGGCAGUGAAGACAUGGGAAGAGGACCGGUUCAGCAUCCUGCGCCAUCUCUCAUGUGACCAAGUAGGAAAGAGGUUUACAAAUGCGAACACCCAGAACAGCAGACUUUUUUUUUUUUCUAAUAAAUUGAAUUCCAGUGAGUGUUAAUCUGGGUGAUUUUGGAGAAAGAGCCAUGCAGCACUUCUUUUGCCACAGGAGAUCCUUGGAAUGGCAGUCCCUGUUCCUGAGGACAAUGGGUGUGUACAUUGCAUCUAAGCCCAGAUUGCUGAAGAAGUACCAUGUCCCAAGAAGGGGCAGCCAAAAUGCCCUCUCCUGGAGGUGCAGAGGAGCUCACCGGUACAAUCUCUACCAAAGUUGAUGUGAGAGCUUUCUUUCCUUCCAAGAUCCAGCCAUACCAAACAUUUUCUACAAGUUCUAGAAACAAAUAGAUAUUUUCCAUUCUUUUUAAAAUAUUUUUUGGGUUUCAUUUUUAGUCCCAGGAAUAUUUAGAAAAUAUUUGUUUCAGUUUUUGUCACGUCUGUCACAAGCAAUAUUUUUAAGAAAAGUCAUCAAAUCAUAAUUUGGUGCCAACACUCAAAAUGACAUCUUUCUCGUUUUAGAUAACUGAAGAGAAAAGCAACUUCGAUUUCAGUUUAAUCAUUGUAAAGCAUGAAAGUUAAGCAUUUUUUUUCAGUAUUUUUUGACUUUUUUUUACAUGAUGAAUGUAACAAAUUAUCAGUUGAUAGACAAGAUUUUAGAGCAUUAGCUCACUUCUAUUUCUUAUGAUUGUUUUUUCUAUAGAUUUCUUUCUUUUUAAUAUUUUUAAUGUUUCUUAUUCACAGACCAAACCCAAGUUCUCAAAAAGCUGUGAAAUACAGUUGCCAUAAGUAUGUUUUCAUCUACUUGCUCAAAGAUUACCUAACCAUAUUAGACUGAGCACUUCUUUGCACAGUAAGAAGUUGGUCGCAUGUUUUGAAGUGGCUUAAGUGGAAAGGUUACAUGAGGAGAAACAUUGUUGAUAGUAGUCACCUGUUAGCUCAGUAGAGAUUUUAAUUUCCUUCAAGGAUUCAAUGCCAUUUCGUUGGGAAAUUUCUAGUUUUGUGAAUAAGUUUUUUUUGUGUGUGUGUGGUUUUUAUUUUUAAACCACCGGAGGGGAAAUUUGCUCAUUGCUGAUUUGAAUGAUUCAAAAUGGUGUCUUUUUAAAUUAAUUUAUCUUGUUUCCAAGGUUAAAGACAUGUUUAAACUAUUAGAUUAGUCUACUUGGUAGUAUUUCUUGUAACAUUCCACACCCCAAGCCAACUUAGCAUUUUGAAAAUAAUAGAGUGCCUCAUAUGGCAUAGGUAGGAUAAGUUAUUGUUCAACGUCUGAAAUGAUUCGUCUUAAAUGGUUUGGGAAAAGUGAACUGGAGUGGAACUACAUUCUGUUUAGAAAAACCAACUAACAUCUUGAAAAAAAGUCGGGUAGUUAUAUUUCUAUCCUUCUUUCUGUUCUUCUAGUAGAAAGAGGUAUUGAGAUCACUACCUAAAACUUACACAGCUUCAGAUAAGAAUACCUCGACAUCAAAAGAGAAGCAUUUCACAUAUAAACAAAGUUUUAGAACUUGGCCCUUUAAGGAAUACGGGGCUGUCCUGUGUGUAUAUUGAGUUUUUUGAUUUUGAGUUAAGUGAUUUGACAGCAUCAACUUAUUCCAUGAUUAAAGGAAGUUGUAAACUUACAUUUCAUUUAUUACCUUGGGAAAAACAAUGGGAUGAUGUCACUCCUCCUGAUUCAGUGGAAUUGCGAGGUCUUAAACACCGUAGAUGAUCUGAAAGUUUUGCAUUAUUAAAGUAUGUUCAUGCAUCCAUUUUGUCAUCAAUACAGGGAGUCUUCAGAUAACUUCCAAAUGAAUAAUCAUGAUUGUUGAUAUAUGUUGAUAAACAUCUUUCUUAAAUAUUUCUUUUAAUUUAUAUUAUUGGAUAGAGGAUUGAGAAAAAUAUAUGAAAGACACAUUGGAAAUAAAUCAAAGUUUACUUCUGAGAAAACAUCUUUAAAAGAUGCAAAUUGUUGUGUUUUAGCUUUAAAACUUUUCCAUUCACAUUGGCUGGUGCUAAUGUAUUUUAUUCUUUCUUUAUGGACAGUGCAACUCUACUAUGGAUAAUUUCAUUUCUCUGAUUAUUAGCAUUCCUAAACUCAGUGUGUGAUUUUACUUUUAAAAUUCAUGAAUUUGCUCUAAUUAUGGUUCAAUGACCAUCCUCUCUUAAAUGUAAAGUGUGCCUAUAGAUAAUGUGUUUUUACUUGGAUCAUGGGUCCCUUUGUUUCAUGUUAAUUUUAUACAUACUGUGCCUUUAUCAAUUUUUGUUCUUUUUCACUGACUCAUCUUUUCAACUUAUAUAAUUUGAUGAAACUUGAUACAAUCAGUGAUAGAGGAGUCUGUACACUCCACGCGGUUGCAUGAAUACGCCUACACUCCUCUUCCAGUUUUCACUUUGCAUUUUCAACAGCAGGCCUGGAGGAGUUUUCUUUAUCAUCUGAGUUUAUAGAGAACAUUAGAAUGCCUUUCAUUUGUACCAAUAGAAAGGUAUUAUUUUUGAAUUUGCAGUUUGUGCAUAUGAUGUUCUAAUGGGACAAGAAUUUAUGCAUCCUGUAGUUUAUACUACAUGUCCUUUGUCCACAAUGUGUGUGUUUGGAAAAUGAUCAAAUCAGCAUAGCUUUACCUAUUUGAAACCUUGUUUUUCCUCUAUUUCUUGAUAAUCAAAUUAUAUUAAUAUUUAAUACUACUAAAAAUAGAAUUUUCUAACUUCAACAAAUAAAAACCCUGCUAUCUCUAGGAAGUCAAGGUCCACUAGGAACAUUAUCUUUCCAAAAAGAAGAAAUCACAUGUGAUACAACCUGUCAAAAAAAUCACACGUCCUAAACAUGCUUAACCAAUCAUGAGUCUGCUGAAUUAUUUUAGAAUAUAAAGACCUUCAGUCCAUACUCCUUCCCAUUUUCCCCUAACGUGUCUUCAUAUUGGCUAGAUUUGUUAUAUGCCAGAACAGAAAUGCUCCUCUAACUUGAAGUUUUAGUAGAUUUAGUUUUUUGCCAAUCCAAUACCAAUAAACAUAUUAAUGGCAUUUUCAUUAAAAAUACAUUUAAGAGAAUAAAUUAUCUAUGCUGCUUAUUGAUGGAACUGUUCUUGGGGAAAAGGAAGACUUUUUCAACCUGACCUGUUAUGUUUGAUGUUUGAUUUAUUGACAGACUACCAACGUUUCUCAAAAUGCAGUUGAUAUUCUCUCAUAUCUCAGAAAAAUUAAUGAGUUGGAUUCACAAAAGAAUGUCUUACAUAUUGUUGACAUUUAUGUGAAUAUUCUUUAUACUGUUGUAAAUGUUUCAUUCAACUUGACAUUUUUAAAAGAUGUAUGUAUCUUAUUUUUCUUUAGGAAAUAUUAUAUUUUUAUUUGUGUUUUUUACAUUUUAAAGUUCAUCUAUAUGUGCAGCUAUUUUUAUAUUGCCAAAAACUCACAUAAACACAAAAUAAGAGGAAAAUGAAAAAAAAAUUGGCAAACAUUACAUUGCAUUUUUUGAAUGUUUCAUGGGCCAGUCUCAUGUGAUUGAUUAUUUUAAGAAUGUGUUGUGUCUUAUCACUGUAAAUAUGGCACAGACCUGAUUAUCUCACUAAUGUAAAUAUUUGAAAGGUUGAAUUCUCCCCGUUUGCUUUUUUAUUUCAGUUUCAUUGUAAUUUCUCCAGCUGACAUUAUUGAAGCAAAAGACACAAAGUUUUCGACUUGCAGUUUGGAGAUAAUUGCAUUGUUUCAGAGAAUUGUUCAGUUUCUACUUUGUUUUUUAUUUGCUUUUUAAACUUGUUUCAGGGUUCUUAGUUUGUGAGAAGUUGAUCUUCAGAAUUAUUUUUACACUAUUUAUGACUUAUUUUCAUAAUGUAAAAAGUGUGUAAUUAUUACAUAUUAAUCCAAACAAUGAUAAUGAAUUGUAUUGUUAUAAAGCUUUAUUGAUAUUCAUGACAA
rnacentral:lncRNA from 1 species